GAUGAAGAACGCAGCGAAAUGCGAUAAGUAAUGUGAAUUGCAGAAUUCAGUGAAUCAUCGAAUCUUUGAACGCACAUUGCACCUUUUGGUAUUCCAUGAGGUAUACAUGUUCGAGCGUCGUUUCAUUAUGAGACAGCUGUCUUGCGUUGACGUGCUCCGACGGAAUCGUUGGAACGUUGAAAAGCAUUGGCGCACGUGCCCGCGUGACGAACCCAACAAACUGGGAGAGUUCGAAGGGUGCGCAUGCCGCUUAUCAAACCUUAAUUUAACGUUCGACCUCGAAUCAUGUAGGAUUACCCGCUGAACUUAAGCAUAUCAAUAAGCGGAGGA
rnacentral:misc_RNA from 1 species